rnacentral:rRNA from 1 species
AUUGAACGCUGGCGGCAGGCCUAACACAUGCAAGUCGAGCGAGCGGCGGACGGGUGAGUAAUGUCUGGGAAACUGCCUGAUGGAGGGGGAUAACUACUGGAAACGGUAGCUAAUACCGCAUACCAUCAGAUGUGCCCAGAUGGGAUUAGCUCUUUGGUGGGGUAACGGCUCACCUAGGCGACGAUCCCUAGCUGGUCUGAGAGGAUGACCAGCCAACCUGGAACUGAGCCACGGUCCAGCCUCCUACGGGAGGUAGCAGUGGGGAGUAUUGCACAAUGGGCGAAAGCAUGUUGCAGCAAUGCCGCGUGUGUGAAGAAGGCCUUCGGGUUGUAAAGCACUUUCAGCGGGGAGGCGUUACCCGCAGAAGAAGCACCGGCUAACUCCGUGCCAGCCGCCGCGGUAAUAC